UACGGAGGAUGCGAGCGUUAUCCGGAAUCAUUGGGUUUAAAGGGUGCGUAGGCUGGUAUUUAAGUCAGUGGUGAAAUUUUCGUGCUUAACAUGAGAGCUGCCAUUGAUACUGGGUACCUAGAGUGUAUUGAUGUGGGCGGAAUGUGUUGUGUAGCGUGAAAUGCUAGAUAUGACACAGAACACCGAUAGCGAAGGCAGCUCACAAAGUACAACCUGACGCUGAUGCACGAAAGCGUGGGGAUCAAACAG
rnacentral:rRNA from 1 species